rnacentral:rRNA from 1 species
AGAACGAACGCUGGCGGCAUGCCUAACACAUGCAAGUCGAACGAGACCUUCGGGUCUAGUGGCGCACGGGUGCGUAACGCGUGGGAAUCUGCCCUUGGGUUCGGAAUAACAGCGAGAAAUUGCUGCUAAUACCGGAUGAUGACGUAAGUCCAAAGAUUUAUCGCCCAAGGAUGAGCCCGCGUAGGAUUAGCUUGUUGGUGAGGUAAGAGCUCACCAAGGCGACGAUCCUUAGCUGGUCUGAGAGGAUGAUCAGCCACACUGGGACUGAGACACGGCCCAGACUCCUACGGGAGCAGCAGUGGGGAAUAUGGACAAUGGGCGAAAGCCUGAUCCAGCAAUGCCGCGUGAGUGAUGAAGGCCGUUAGGGUUGUAAAGCUCUUUACCGGAUGAUAAUGACAGUACCGGAGAAUAAGCUCCGGCUAACUCCGUGCCAGCAGCCGAC